GACGGAGGAGGCAAGCGUUAUCCGGAAUUAUUGGGCGUAAAGGGUACGUAGGCGGCUGGUCAAGUCUGGGGUCAAAGGGCACAGCUCAACUGUGGGAAGGCCCUGGAAACUGACCGGCUAGAGUGAGGUAGGGGUUGCGGGAAUUCCCGGUGUAGCGGUGAAAUGCGUAGAGAUCGGGAAGAACACCCGAGGCGGAAGCGCGCAACUGGGCCUCAACUGACGCUGAGGUACGAAAGAUAGGGGAGCGAAUGGG
rnacentral:rRNA from 1 species